UACGGGGGGAGCAAGCGUUGUUCGGAUUUACUGGGCGUAAAGGGUGCGUAGGCGGCGCGGUAAGUCGGGUGUGAAAUCUCGGGGCUUAACUCCGAAACUGCAUUCGAUACUGCCGUGCUUGAGGACUGGAGAGGAGACUGGAAUUUACGGUGUAGCGGUGAAAUGCGUAGAUAUCGUAAGGAAGACCAGUGGCGAAGGCGGGGUCUCUGGACAGUUCCUGACGCUGAGGCACGAAGGCCAGGGGAGCAAACGGG
rnacentral:rRNA from 1 species